rnacentral:rRNA from 2 species
CCUACGGGAGGCAGCAGUGGGGAAUAUUGCACAAUGGGGGAAACCCUGAUGCAGCAACGCCGCGUGAGUGAUGACGGUCUUCGGAUUGUAAAACUCUGUCUUCAGGGACGAUAAUGACGGUACCUGAGGAGGAAGCCACGGCUAACUACGUGCCAGCAGCCGCGGUAAU